rnacentral:rRNA from 1 species
GACGAACGCUGGCGGCGUGCUUAACACAUGCAAGUCGAACGCUGAAGCUCAGCUUGCUGGGUGGCUGAGUGGCGAACGGGUGAGUAACACGUGAGUAACCUGCCCUCUUCUUUGGGAUAACGCCCGGAAACGGGUGCUAAUACUGGAUAUUCACUGAUUCUCGCAUGGGGGUUGGUGGAAAGGUUUUUUCUGGUGGGGGAUGGGCUCGCGGCCUAUCAGCUUGUUGGUGGGGUGAUGGCCUACCAAGGCUUUGACGGGUAGCCGGCCUGAGAGGGUGACCGGUCACAUUGGGACUGAGAUACGGCCCAGACUCCUACGGGAGGCAGCAGUGGGGAAUAUUGCACAAUGGGCGAAAGCCGGAUGCAGCGACGCCGCGUGAGGGAUGGAGGCCUUCGGGUUGUAAACCUCUUUCGCUCAUGGUCAAGCCGCAGCUUUGGGUUGUGGUGAGGGUAGUGGGUAAAGAAGCGCCGGCUAACUACGUG